rnacentral:rRNA from 1 species
CCUACGGGGGGCAGCAGUGGGGAAUAUUGGGCAAUGGGCGCAAGCCUGACCCAGCAACGCCGCGUGAAGGAAGAAGGCUUGCGGGUUGUAAACUUCUUUUCUCAGGGACGAAGAAAGUUACGGUACCUGAGGAAUAAGCCACGGCUAACUACGUGCCAGCAGCCGCGGUAAUACGUAGGUGGCAAGCGUUAUCAGGAUUUACUGGGUGUAAAGGUCGUGUAGGCGGGGAAGCAAGUCAGAUGUGAAAACCACGGGCUCAACCUGUGGCCUGCAUUUGAAACUGGUUUUCUUGAGUACUGGAGAGGCAGACGGAAUUCCUAGUGUAGCGGUGAAAUGCGUAGAUAUUAGGAGGAACACCAGUGGCGAAGGCGGUCUGCUGGACAGCAACUGACGCUGAGGCGCGAAAGCGUGGGGAGCAAACAGGAUUAGAUACCCGGGUAGUC